AUCCCUACGGGACGUAGCAGUGAGGAAUAUUGGUCAAUGGGCGAGAGCCUGAACCAGCCAAGUCGCGUGAAGGAUGACGGCCCUACGGAUUGUAAACCUCUUUUGUCAGGGAGCAAUUGGGUCCACGCGUGGGCUUAGCGAGAGUACCUGAAGAAAAAGCAUCGCCUAACUCCGUGCCAGCAGCCGCGGUAAUACGGAGGAUGCGAGCGUUAUCCGGAUUUAUUGGGUUUAAAGGGUGCGUAGGCGGAAUAUCAAG
rnacentral:rRNA from 1 species